CAAUAGCGUAUAUUAAAGUUGUUGCAGUUAAAAAGCUCGUAGUUGGAUUUCGGAGUGGGCCAGUUGGUCCGCCGCAAGGUGUGUUACUGACUGGUUUGCUCUUCUUCGCAAAGACUGCGUGUGCUCUUUAUUGAGUGUGCGUAGGAUUUACGACGUUUACUUUGAAAAAAUUAGAGUGUUCAAAGCAGGCUAUUGCUUGAAUACAUGAGCAUGGAAUAAUGGAAUAGGAUUUUGGUCCCAUUUUGUUGGUUUCUAGGACCGAAGUAAUGAUUAAGAGGGACAAUUGGGGGCAUCCGUAUUUCGUUGUCAGAGGUGAAAUUCUUGGAUUUACGAAAGACGAACAACUGCGAAAGCACUUGCCAAGAGUGUUUUCAUUAA
rnacentral:rRNA from 1 species